rnacentral:lncRNA from 1 species
CUCACUCAGAUUCUUCCCUUGAGAGGGGCUUCCCUGGACUCUGCAUAGUGGUAGCUUGGCUCUCAUACAUGGACCACUGUAUAGCUGGCUGCAGUCACACAGCUGGAGCUGUGGUUGUUAGUGGGGAGCUAAGUGCGACUCACACCUACUAUUGGUUUAGUUGACUCAUUCUUGAUUGCACGCACUCAUGUUCUGUCACUGUGUUUCAUUGCAGGCAUCCCAACAUGCUAUAGACACUGGAAACCCCCCUCCUGGACAUCACAUCCAUCUGGGAGGAGAGGUCUUGUCUACACCGGUUGAGAUUCACCGUCUUUGUGCUGAGGCAAGAAAGAAGCCCAUGCCUGGCUCAAGCCAAGCACCAUCACGUAAGAUGCUGACAUGGAGAGCCAAGCAUACUCCUGCCCUAUGGAGGAAGAUCGUGGCAAAACAAGAGGCUGCAUCCAAGGAUGGCCAGGCAGCUGCAUCAACCCCUUCCCAAGGACCUUG